rnacentral:rRNA from 1 species
GACGAACGCUGGCGGCGUGCUUAACACAUGCAAGUCGAACGGAAAGGCCCUGCUUUUGUGGGGUGCUCGAGUGGCGAACGGGUGAGUAACACGUGAGUAACCUGCCCUUGACUUUGGGAUAACUUCAGGAAACUGGGGCUAAUACCGGAUAGGAGCUCCUGCUGCAUGGUGGGGGUUGGAAAGUUUCGGCGGUUGGGGAUGGUCUCGCGGCUUAUCAGCUUGUUGGUGGGGUAGUGGCUUACCAAGGCUUUGACGGGUAGCCGGCCUGGGAGGGUGACCGGCGACAUGGGGACUAAGGGACGGCCCAGACGCCUACGGGAGGCAGCAGGGGGGAAUAUUGCAGAAUGGGCGGAAGCCUGAUGCAGCAACGCCGCGUGCGGGAUGACGGCCUUCGGGUUGUAAACCGCUUUCGCCUGUGACGAAGCGUGAGUGACGGUAAUGGGUAAAGAAGCACCGGCUAACUACGUG